GUAUCCCCGCCUGUCACGCGGGAGACCGGGGUUCGAUUCCCCGCCGGGGAGGCGUCAUUUUUUUCCCCCCUCUUAAAAAUUUUUGAGAUUAAUUCUCCAAUACUUUAAAUCUUUUUAAACAAGAUAUCACAUGUUCUUAAUUCGCCCUAAAUCUGGUAGCAUUUUUUUUUUUACAACAGUUCAUAGUUUACUGUUGUAACCAGAAGUGAAUAAACCGGGGGACUUCUGUAAUAUUCUUCCUAUAUUUUGCAAAGGAAAUACACAUAGUGUUUCCGCUAUAGCGUUGUAGAUCACAGGAGCUGACUGUUCUUAAAAUAUGGCCAGACUACGUGAAGUAUCUGGUACUACAGCCCUGGUUUUGGCGGGUCUGACGUUUGCCUUGGGGUUCUACCUAGGGUACAAGGCAAAGGCUUAUCGCCUACGAUAUCUCCAUAAUAAAAGGGAUCGCCUGAUGAACAAACUUAAUAAAGCAACAGAGGAUAUACAGUAUACAAUGAACAAUAUUUGACAUUAAUUAGACUGAAUAACUUGAUUGAACCCAUCUUGUCAGCAAUCUCAUUGAUAUUGUUGAGGUCACAUAAAUAUUAAUUGAAUUGACAGCACUUGGGUAAAUGUAAACAAAAUUUAUAUUAAUAUAAUUUGCUGUACAGUUAUAUAUUUUAACAUAAUUUACAUAAAAUUUACAUGUAGAAUAA